AUUGAAUCAAUGACCGGGAGAGUAAUGGCCCUGAACCCUAGUCCCCAGCGAGCCGGGAGAGUGUAAGCCGGUACAGAUCAGGAUUAUGAAGCGCACCCGUGAGAUGGACUUCUGAACUAAGAGUAGGAAGCCCCGGCCAAGGACCGUUAACCUGUAAGGUGGCUGAACUGCAGGUUCGGCAACGAGAGUGGUACCGCGAGCGCAUAAGCCUCGUCUCUUUU
rnacentral:ncRNA from 1 species